CAUCUCAUCCAGAUCUAUCUAGUGAUGUAGUUCCACAACAUUGGCAAUCUCCUCGUUUAGACCACUCAGAAAUCUAGCCAUGGUGGCUUCUGGGCUCUCGUAAACUCUAGCCUAAUCAUUGCCAUCUCCAUCUCCUUAUGGUAAUCUUCCACCGAAAGGGAUCCCUAGGUCAAUAUUUGGAGCUUUUGGUGCAAUUCUCUAUCAUACUAUGGGAUAAAUCUAUUUCUCAUAAUAAACUUCAUCUCUCUCCAAGUGGAUACAGGUUGGUCUCCAUCUCUUCUCCUAAGGGCAGUCACUUGAUCUCAUCAAACAAGUGCAUAAUCUGUGAACUUGAGUGCUGCUAGCUUUACUUUCUUAGCUUCACUAUAGUUGUGGCAGUCAAAAAUUAACUCUACCUUCUGUUCCCACUCAAGAUAGGUCUCUGCAUCAUUUCUUCCUCUAAACGGGGGUAUUUACAUGUUAAUGGAAUCUUCUCUCUGGAUUUCUCUUCUACCGACUUCACUAUUGUCGCCAUGUGACUCAUCAUCAUCCUGGCGGUGUUGGUGUUAGGGAUGACUACAAUUCCUUCCUCUAUCUCUCUCAUCCAUUCUUGUUGUUGUACCUUCAAUGGCUAAGUUCAGUCUGUUAUACAUGUCAUCCAUCCUAGCCUCCAUGUAUUCUUCCAAGGUCAUAGGUUAGUUGGUUUCACUAAGCUGUAAUAUAUCUGUAAAA
rnacentral:lncRNA from 1 species